rnacentral:lncRNA from 10 species
AGAGUGGCUCACAAUAACUUCUUGGUGAGUCCUAGAAAAUUACUUGGUUCACUGCUGACAACAAAGAGAUACAAACUUCUCAGGAAUUUUUAAGAAUAGAAACAGUGUUCCAGAGAGCUCUCCAAACUUUCUGCUCCUCAGGUGGACACAGAAGAGAGAUCAAGUUCGUUGAGGACAGAAGAGACAUAAGAGGCCAAGAAGGUAUCAUCUGGCUAUCCAGGCAAAAAGUAGAGUCCAAGACGCCAGAUAAUUCGUGAGAACAUCUCCAGGAUGCAGGAAAUACUGGAACUGAGUUGAUAUCCUUGACUGAAUUUAUUUCAUUCAUUUGUUCAUUUAUUCAGUGACUCAAAAUGUACUGGGC